AAAUUUAAGCUUAGUGUUUUGUGAUAUAGACUAAGUUUGAAGUAUGUUGUUUGUAGUUAAGAUUUGGAAUUAAGUAUAUGGUUUGAGAUUAACCUUUGAAAAGAUUAAUUUUAUAGUUUAUAUUUAAGAUUUGGGUUUCAUAUAAGUUUGAGAAUGAAGUUUGAAACUAUUGAGUUGAAGAGUGAAUGUUUAUAAUAUAGGGUGAUAAGUUUAAGAUUUGGUGUUUUAAAGUGUUGAUGUUUAUGUUAAAUUAUUUAUAAAUUUUGGAAGUUUAAAUAAGUGUUGGAUAUUAAAUCCAGGUAAAUUAGGUAAAUCUUAAUCAUAUAUAUUGUUUUGUAGGUAGAUAUAAGUUUAGGGUAUAUGUUUGGGGUUUAGGGUAUAUAAUUAAGGUUUUCGACAGAGCCACGGAAAAAUAGUGGUUACACCGUGGCUAACACUCUAGCCACUGUAAUAGAUGUGG
rnacentral:lncRNA from 1 species